CAGCAGCAGCCGCGGUAAUACGUAGGGUGCAAGCGUUAAUCGGAAUUACUGGGCGUAAAGCGUGCGCAGGCGGUUUUGUAAGACAGGCGUGAAAUCCCCGGGCUCAACCUGGGAAUGGCGCUUGUGACUGCAAAGCUAGAGUGCGGCAGAGGGGGAUGGAAUUCCGCGUGUAGCAGCGAAAUGCGUAGAUAUGCGGAGGAACACCGAUGGCGAAGGCAAUCCCCUGGGCCUGCACUGACGCUCAUGCACGAAAGCGUGGGGAGCAAACAGGAUUAGAGACCCGCGUAGUCUCUGUCUCUUAUAC
rnacentral:rRNA from 1 species